rnacentral:rRNA from 1 species
GAUGAACGCUGGCGGCGUGCCUAAUACAUGCAAGUCGAGCGAACGGACGAGAAGCUUGCUUUUCUGAUGUUAGCGGCGGACGGGUGAGUAACACGUGGAUAACCUACCUAUAGGACUGGGAUAACUUCGGGAAACCGGAGCUAAUACCGGAUAAUAUUUUGAACCGCAUGGUUCAAAAGUGAAAGACGGUCUUGCUGUCACUUAUAGAUGGAUCCCCGCUGCAUUAGCUAGUUGGUAAGGUAACGGCUUACCAAGGCAACGAUGCAUAGCCGACCUGAGAGGGUGAUCGGCCACCCUGGAACUGAGACACGCUCCAGACUCCUACGGGAGGCAGCAGUAGCGAAUCUUCCGCAAUGGGCGAAAGCCUGACGGAGCAACGCCGCGUGAGUGAUGAAGGUCUUCGGAUCGUAAAACUCUGUUAUUAGGGAAGAACAUAUGUGUAAGUAACUGUGCACAUCUUGACGGUACCUAAUCAGAAAGCCACGGCUAACUACGUG